AUUGAACGCUGGCGGCAUGCCUUACACAUGCAAGUCGAACGGCAGCACGGGAGCAAUCCUGGUGGCGAGUGGCGAACGGGUGAGUAAUAUAUCGGAACGUGCCCAGUCGUGGGGGAUAACGCAGCGAAAGCUGUGCUAAUACCGCAUACGAUCUACGGAUGAAAGCGGGGGAUCGCAAGACCGCGCGCGAUUGGAGCGGCCGAUAUCAGAUUAGCUAGUUGGUGGGGUAAAGGCCCACCAAGGCGACGAUCUGUAGCUGGUCUGAGAGGACGACCAGCCACACUGGAACUGAGACACGGUCCAGACUCCUACGGGAGGCAGCAGUGGGGAAUUUUGGACAAUGGGCGCAAGCCUGAUCCAGCAAUGCCGCGUGCAGGAUGAAGGCCUUCGGGUUGUAAACUGCUUUUGUACGGAACGAAACGGCCCUUUCUAAUACAGGGGGCUAAUGACGGUACCGUAAGAAUAAGCACCGGCUAACUACGUGCCAGCCGCCGCCGUAA
rnacentral:rRNA from 1 species